rnacentral:piRNA from 1 species
AGGAUGAGUGAACUGUAUUUUAGGGUGCCU